rnacentral:rRNA from 1 species
UACGGAGGGAGCUAGCGUUGUUCGGAAUCACUGGGCGUAAAGCGCACGUAGGCGGCUUGUUAAGUCGGGGGUGAAAUCCUGGAGCUCAACUCCAGAACUGCCCUCGAUACUGAUGAGCUCGAGUCCGGGAGAGGUGAGUGGAACUGCGAGUGUAGAGGUGAAAUUCGUAGAUAUUCGCAAGAACACCAGUGGCGAAGGCGGCUCACUGGCCCGGUACUGACGCUGAGGUGCGAAAGCGUGGGGAGCAAACAGG